GACGAACGCUGGCGGCGUGCUUAAUACAUGCAAGUCGAGCGAGGUUAUUGUUUCAAAGUCCUUCGGGGUGGCGAAAUUUUAACCUAGCGGCGGACGGGUGAGUAACGCGUGGGCAACCUGCCCUAAAGCCCGGGAUAACAGUGGGAAACUACUGCUAACACCGGAUGGUCUCAUUUUGUGGCAUCAUAAGAUGAGUAAAGGUUACGCUUUAGGAUGGGCCCGCGUCCCAUUAGCUAGUUGGUGAGGUAACUGCUCACCAAGGCGACGAUGGGUAGCCGGCCUGAGAGGGUGGACGGCCACACUGGGACUGAGACACGGCCCAGACUCCUACGGGAGGCAGCAGUAGGGAAUAUUGCGCAAUGGAGGGAACUCUGACGCAGCGACGCCGCGUGAGCGAUGAAGGUCUUCGGAUCGUAAAGCUCUGUCCUCAGGGAAGAAGGUUAUUAACUUGACGGUACCUGAGGAGGAAGCCCCGGCUAACUACGUG
rnacentral:rRNA from 1 species